AUUUUUGAAAAAAAAACGUGGCCACAAAAAGAAUGGGGGUUCCUUCGUCGACUCCCCCCUCCCCUGCACAAAGUGGUGCCGGCCGAACGUCGCUUUAAAAACAUCCCUUUGUUGCAACGUUCCAAAUUAGAACGUUCGCGUCCUCGGCGUUCCAAGUGCCUUUUUUGCGGACCGGAUCGGAGCGCGCAGCCAGCACCAUGGCUGUCAAAAUCAGAGUGGUUUAUUGUGGCGCCUGAGGCUAUAGUCCCAAGUAUCAGCAGCUCAAGAAGGAACUCGAAAAGAAGUUUCCGGGCAAGCUGGACAUUAGUGGUGAGGGGACUCCUCAGGUCACAGGAUGGUUUGAAGUCACCGUGGCAGGGAAGCUGGUGCACUCCAAGAAGAACGGAGAUGGCUUUGUCGACAACGAUACCAAGCUGCGCAAGAUAA
rnacentral:lncRNA from 1 species